UGGCGAACGGGUGAGUAACACGUGGGUAACCUGCCCUCCACUCUGGGAUAACUCCGGGAAACCGGGGCUAAUACCGGAUACGAGUUCUGACCGCAUGGUCGGGGCUGGAAAGUUUUUCGGUGGAGGAUGGACCCGCGGCCUAUCAGCUUGUUGGUGGGGUAAUGGCCUACCAAGGCUUUGACGGGUAGCCGGCCUGAGAGGAUGAUCAGCCACACUGGGACUGAGACACGGCCCAG
rnacentral:rRNA from 1 species